CAAGCAUUACCCAGAUCAACAACAGAACACUUGCACUUGGGAGGCUUUAUGUACAGGUUUCCCUCCAAAAUACCUGGAAGUGACAUCAUACCACUUCUGGUAUGGUACUAUUUAAGCCCAGUCCAAGAAUUGCGAUUUGUUUUUUGUGGGGUAGUCUGUAAUGUUGGAGUUGUUUACUGCAAGUUGUCUAUGUAUUUGUGAAUUAUUUUAGCAGGGGCUUUCCUUUUUCACUCAAUUUCUUGUGUGAUUUGUUUGCCAGGCAAUUGCAGCCCAUCAUGAAGUGUACUUUGCAGGAACCUGUGGUGAUGGAUGGUGUUCCUUUGUGGUGAGCCUGCUUGGCCUCUACAUUCGAAAUCUUCCACUCCUUCCCUUACAUCGAGUACUUUGGUUAUGACCUGAAUAUUGUCUAAUUGUUUAUUCCUGUUCUACUUGAAGUGUAAACUUCUUUUUGCUGUGUAUUGUGGAAUUUUAAAUAAAUGAU